rnacentral:rRNA from 1 species
GACAGAGGCCCCGAGCGUUAGGCGGAAUCACUGGGCUUAAAGCGCGUGUAGGCGGAGGGCUAAGUACCUUGUGAAAUCCCCCGGGCUCAACCCGGGAACGGCUCGGUAUACUGGCCUUCUUGAGGCAUCUAGGGGCGAGCGGAACAAACGGUGGAGCGGUGAAAUGCGUAGAUAUCGUUUGGAACGCCAACGGAGAAAUCAGCUCGCUGGGGAUGUCCUGACGCUGAGACGCGAAAGCCAGGGGAGCGAACGGG